ACCAAUUUAGGUUAGAAAAUCUCUCAUUUGGUUCGGCUGCCUUAUCAGUAUACGAUAGUAACUGAAUUUGGCCGGAACACCUGGCUCGCCAAAUGUUGAACAAUCAGACGAGGCUUAGAGCGACAUGGUCUCUGAUACUGCGCGCGAAUUCUUUCACCUCCAGUUUGGAGCCUCGAAAUCGUUUUUCCUUCGUGAAAUAAUUAUACCUUUCUGCAUUGAAAACCAACACUGACCAUGAUCUUUUAUAUACAGUAAGUGCAAGUCAGUUAAUGGUUGUGAAGAUUUCUCUGCACCGGCACCAAGAAAUAUUCCAACUGUAUAUGAUAGCCAACAAAAGCGAUUUUAGUCAAAGUAAUAGAACUUUAGAUCCGAGAACGACGAUGAAUUUGUUUACUUGCUCAUAGUGCGCACGCGUGGUAGUCCGUGACACGCAACGCAGCCGGGGAAAUAAAUUGUCGGCCGCUCGUUGACAACGAAAUUUGAGGAAAAUUCGUCUCCAUCUCCACAAAAGUGAGUUUUGUACUUCCAACUCAUCAAUUUAUUAAAACGUCUUCUUCGUCAAGUGUGUCAUCCAUGUGUAGCAUUAUCGCUGUCGCAACACAGAUUUUUUUGCUUGAAAACACGUAAAAACCAGGUGCCUGUUUCUCGAGAGUUCCGAGAACGUUUCGAGUCGGAAAAGCCAGUUGCUGAAGUGCAACCCGCUUGUUUUAAAAAGCUGAUCUUUUAACACGUUUUUAAUGUAGGAAAAUCCAAGAGAAUUGCGAAGUUUGAUGGCUUAGAAUCUCGGCGUUGCGAAGAUAUAAAGGGAAUUGUGGUACCCGAAAUAGGCCCGAAAAGUUUCGGGACUGUUGAGAAACAGGCCCCUGGGUGUUUUCAAUCUAAGUAAAAAAAUUAGGUGAACACAAAGACGGACGAAAACAAAGUACAAGACCUCUUGAGCACAAAACACGUACUCGUCUUCGUAGUCGUUCUAACGCAAACCCCUGAAGCACGUGAGCCCUCUUACUUUGGUUUCACAAUCAACGUGAAAUGUGAGGAUUUAAGCAAAGGCAACAUGUCAUAAAACAAUGACACUUUGGGUUGCAGGAAAAAA